rnacentral:tRNA from 1 species
UAGCCAGUGGCGGAACGGUCAAACGCAUCUCAUCAAGGAGACAGUCGCGGGUUUGAAUCCCGUCUGGGUAA